rnacentral:rRNA from 1 species
CGUUUAAGGGCUUACGGUGGAUGCCUUGGGAGAUGUGGCCGAAGAAGGACGUAGUAGACUGCGAUAAGCUUCGGGGAGCUGUCAAACAAGCUUUGAUCCGGAGAUUUCCGAAUGGGAAAACCCUAUAAUCCAGCACCACUUUUCUUCUCAAUAGUUAUAUUGAACUGAAAAGUGGUGCUGGAGGGUAAGCCGGUGAACUGAAACAUCUUAGUAACCGGAGGAAAAGAAAUCGAAUGAGAUUCCCUUAGUAGUGGCGAGCGAAAAGGGAAAAGUCCAAACCCAGCACCACUUUUCAACUUAAUAAGAAAUUUCUUCAGUUAGUGAAGUUUUCAAACGAAUUGUAACAAGUUCAAUUUGAGAUGAAAAGUGGUGCUGGGGGUUGUGGGACCCAUAUAAUUUUUGCGAACGGAUAGAGGAACGAAUCUGGAAAGGACGACCAUAGAGCGUGAUAGUCGCGUACUUUAAAUCCAAGUAGCAAAGAGUUGGUGUUCCCGAGUAGCACCGGACACGUGAAACCCGGUGUGAAUCUGGGGCGAUCAUGCUCCAAGACUAAAUACCACAUCCCACCGAUAGUGAACAAGUACCGUGAGGGAAAGGUUAAAAGAACCCUGAAUAAGGGAGUGAAAUAGAACCUGAAACCGUAUUGCCCACAACAAGUAGGAGCCCGCCGAUUCGGCGGGUGACUGCGUGCCUUUUGUAGAAUGAGCCAACGAGUUAGCUGUGUAUAGCAAGCUUAACCCAUUUUGGGGGAGGCGUAGUGAAAGCGAGGCAAAAAGCCGUUAGUUGUACACACUAGACCCGAAACCGAGUGAUCUAUCCAUGGCCAGGGUGAAUCCGCCUUAACCGGCGCGAGAAGGCCCGAACCAGGAAGCGUUGCAAAGCUUUUGGAUGAGCUGUGGAUAGUGGUGAAAUGCUAAUCGA